UCCACUCCAUGAUUAUUUUCUACAUGUCUCUACUCUUGAUAUUUCUAGUGAUUGCUGUCAACAGUUUUUCUACUCCACACAAGCACGAUCAUUUUGUAACCACUGGACCAAUAGUCACGUCAUAUUGGCUUCCAACUCAUCUUGACAUUACUUCUUUCCUCAUUCAACCUACAAGGGUAUCCUUUAUUCUUGGGAAUCUG
rnacentral:lncRNA from 1 species